CUCUUUCAGAGUCCGAGUUGCUGUUGCAGAGGGCGCUUUGCUUUGCACCAUCUCCCGGUUCCUUGGAACAGGACUCCUCAUAGGGUGAGAAUCCCGUACGUGGAUCGGUCGAUUGCCGUGUAAAGCCCCUUCCACGAUCCGAGUUGUUUGGGAAUGCACCUCUAAUUGGGAGGUAAAUUUCUUCUAAAACUAAAUAUUGCCCGGACACCGAUACCGCACAAGUAGAGUGAUCGAAAUAUGAAAAGCUCUUUGGAAAGACAGUCACACAGCACGUGAAAUUGUUGAAAGGGAAGCGCUUGCAGCCAGACUUGCUUGCAGUUGCUCAUCCGGGCUUUUGCCCGGUGCACUCUUCUGCGGGCAGGCCAGCAUUGUUUGGGCGGUGGCAUAAAGGUCUCUGUCACAUACCUUCCUUCGGGUUGGGCUUAUAGGGGAUACCCCUUACCGGCGGUGGGACAAAGGUCUCUGUCACGUACCUUCCUUCGGGUUGGGCUUAUAGGGGAUACCCCUUACCACCAUCCUGGACUGAGGUCCGCGCAUCUGCUAGGAUGCUGGCGCAAUGGAUGUAACCGCCCCGGCUUGAACCACGGACCAAGGAGUCUAACAUCUAUGCGAGUGUUUGGGCGCCAUGCCAGAUCGCGUCAUGAAAGUGAACGCACGUGGAAACCCGCUAGCGUGCACCAUCCACCGAUCCUGAAACUUACGGAAGGACCUGAGUGACAGCAUGUCUGUUGGAACCCGAAAGAUGGUGAACUAUGAAUGAAUAGGGUGAAGCUAGAGGACGCUCUGGUGGAGACUCGCAGCGCUUCUGACAUGUGAAUCCGC
rnacentral:rRNA from 1 species